rnacentral:rRNA from 1 species
CCUACGGGUGGCAGCAGUGAGGAAUAUUGGUCAAUGGGCUUACGCCUGAACCAGCCAAGUCGCGUGAGGGAAGACUGCCCUAUGGGUUGUAAACCUCUUUUGUCAGGGAGCAACGCCGGCUACGUGUAGCCGGACUGAGAGUACCUGAAGAAAAAGCAUCGGCUAACUCCGUGCCAGCAGCCGCGGUAAUACGGAGGAUGCGAGCGUUAUCCGGAGUUAUUGGGUUUAAAGGGUGCGUAGGCGGAAUGCCAAGUCAGCGGUAAAAUCGCGGGGCUAAACCCCAUCCAGCUGUUGAAACUGGGGAUCUAGAGUGUGCGAGAGGUAUGCGGAAUGCGUGGGGUAGCGGUGAAAUGCAUAGAUAUCACGCAGAACCCCGACUGCGAAGGCAGCAUACCGGUGCACAACUGACGCUCAGGCACGAAAGCGUGGGUAUCGAACAGGAUUAGAUACCCGAGUAGUC